rnacentral:rRNA from 1 species
AGAGUUUGAUCCUGGCUCAGAAUGAACGCUGGCGGCGUGCUUAACACAUGCAAGUCGAGCGAGAAAGGCCUUCGGGCUGAGUAAAGCGGCGAACGGGUGAGUAACGCGUGGGAAUCUACCUUUUGAUGAAGGAUACCCUCGAGAAAUUGAGGUUAAUACUGCAUAAGUUCCCUUCGGGGAAGAAAGGCGGCUUUUAGCUGUCGUCAAGAGAUGAGCCUGCGUACUAUUAGCUAGUUGGUGGGGUAAUGGCCUACCAAGGCAGUGAUGGUUAACCGGCCUGAGAGGGUGUACGGUCACACUGGAACUUAGACACGGUCCAGACUCCUACGGGAGGCAGCAGUGAGGAAUAUUGCGCAAUGGGCGAAAGCCUGACGCAGCGACGCCGCGUGAAGGAUGAAGGUCUUCGGAUUGUAAACUUCUGUUAAGUGGGAAGAAAAUCUACGUUCUAAUACAACGUAGCAAUGACGGUACCAUUAGAGAAAGCACCGGCUAACUUCGUGCCAGCAGCCGCGGUAAUACGAGGGGUGCAAGCGUUAUUCGGAUUUAUUGGGCGUAAAGGGUGUGUAGGUGGUAAAUUAAGUCAGCUGUUAAAGACCCCAGCCUAACUGGGGGCCAGCAGCAGAUACUGGUAUACUUGAGGAUGGAAGAGAGAAGUGGAAUUCUUGGAGUAGCGGUAAAAUGCGUAGAUCUCAAGAGGAACACCGAUGGCGAAGGCAGCUUCUUGGUCCAUUCCUGACACUAAGGCACGAAAGCGUGGGGAGCAAACAGGAUUAGAUACCCUGGUAGUCCACGCCGUAAACGAUGAUCACUAGACGUUGGUUUUGCUCUGCAAGAUCAGUGUCGUAGCUAACGCGUUAAGUGAUCCGCCUGGGGAUUACGGUCGCAAGAUUAAAACUCAAAGGAAUUGA